AUGUUAGUUUCACAAGCGAUGAUUGGGUUUUCAUGCCCAUGUGUGAGAUGUGCCUCCCUCAAACCUUGUUCUGAUUUGGCACGUUACCCAUCUGAUG
rnacentral:snoRNA from 1 species